rnacentral:rRNA from 1 species
UGGGGAAUCUUGCGCAAUGGGCGAAAGCCUGACGCAGCAACGCCGCGUGGAGGAUGAAGGCCCUUGGGUUGUAAACUCCUGUCGGCCGGGAAGAAACCGUUCGCGGUUAAUACCCGCGGACGUUGACUGUACCAGCAAAGGAAGCCCCGGCUAACUCUGUGCCAGCAGCCGCGGUAAUACAGAGGGGGCCAGCGUUAUUCGGAAUUAUUGGGGGUAAAGGGCGCGUAGGCGGCCAUGCGUGUCUCCCGUUAAAUCCCUCGGCUCAACCGAGGACGUGCGGAAGAAACUGCAAGGGUCGAGGCCAGAAGAGGGGGGCGGAAUUCCCAGUGGAGCGGUGAAAUGCGUAGAUAUUGGGAGAAACACCAGUGGCGAAGGCGGUCCCCUGGGCUGGUACUGACGCUGAGGCGCGAAAGCGUGGGUAGCAAACAGG